AUAUUGAAUAUAGAUAUUAUCAUUCUAUUGAAUAUGUACUCAAUAAGUAAUCAUUAAAUAUAAAUAUAUAAAUGGUGAAUAGAUAUUAGAUUUUUACACACUGNNCGACAUAGACUUAUUAUAUAAUAUAGUCUGAAGUUGUAACAAGGUAGGUAUAUAUAAAUAUGUGCCUGAUUAUAAUAU
rnacentral:rRNA from 1 species